GGGCGCUUAGCUCAGUUGGUUAGAGCGUCGCAUUUACACUGCGAAGGUCUGAGGUUCGAGCCCUCAAGCGCCCA
rnacentral:tRNA from 1 species